rnacentral:rRNA from 1 species
UAAGGAAUAUUGGUCAAUGGACGCAAGUCUGAACCAGCCAUGCCGCGUGAAGGAUGAAGGUCCUCUGGAUUGAAAACUUCUUUUAUCUGGGACGAAAACGGGAUAUUUAUCUCAAUUGACGGUAGCAGAGGAAUAAGCACCGGCUAAAUCCGUGCCAGCAGCCGCGGUAAUACGGAGGGUGCGAGCGUUAUCCGGAUUUACUGGGUUUAAAGGGUGCGUAGGUGGGCUUAUAAGUCAGUGGUGAAAUCUCCGAGCUUAACUUGGAAACUGCCGUUGAUACGAGAGGUCUUGAAUUAUCUGGAGGUAAGCGGAAUAUGUCAUGUAGCGGUGAAAUGCUUAGAUAUGACAUAGAACACCAAUUGCGAAGGCAGCUUACUACAUAUAAAUUGACGCUGAGGCACGAAAGCGUGGGGAUCAAACA